GCCGGGAUAGUACAACGGUAGUACGCUGUGCUCAUGACACAGAGAUGGGGGUCCGAUUCCCUCUCCCGGCA
rnacentral:tRNA from 1 species